AAUUGUUAUUUUGGCAGAAUAGUGUAUUAAAUUUAGAAUUUAAAAAUGUAUUUUAUACAAAUAAUAC
rnacentral:tRNA from 1 species